rnacentral:rRNA from 1 species
UACAGAGGGUGCAAGCGUUAAUCGGAAUUACUGGGCGUAAAGCGUGCGCAGAUGGUUGCGUAAGUCAGAUGUGAAAGCCCCGGGCUCAACCUGGGAAUUGCAGUGGAUACUGGGGAGCUAGGGUGCGGUAGAGGGUAGUGGAAUUCCCGGUGUAGCGGUGAAAUGCGUAGAGAUCGGGAGGAACACCAGUGGCGAAGGCGGCUACCUGGACCAGCACUGACACUGAGGCACGAAAGCGUGGGGAGCAAACAGG